rnacentral:misc_RNA from 1 species
AGUCGUAACAAGUUACGUAGGUGAACCUGCUGGAAGGAUCAUUAAAGAGAAAGGGCAUAAACACCCGCAGACCUCCAACCCUCUCAGUUAGUUAAAGCAUACUUUGUUGCUUUGGCGGGACUGUUCGGUCCUCCGAACCGUCAGGCACCUUCACGGGUGUCCCGGCGAGCUCCCGCCAGAGUUAAACCAAACUCUUGUUAUAUAAACCGGUCGUCUGAGUAAAAUUUUUGAAUUAAAUCAAAA